rnacentral:ncRNA from 2 species
AUUUGUCCAACGGGGUGCCCACCAAGGCUGAGAAGCAUAAGCUAACCCGUACACCUGAUCUAGAUAAUACUAGUGGAGGAAUUGUGUAAAAAUAUUUC